rnacentral:rRNA from 1 species
AUUGAACGCUGGCGGCAUGCCUUACACAUGCAAGUCGAACGGUAACGGGCCUUCGGGUGCCGACGAGUGGCGAACGGGUGAGUAAUACAUCGGAACGUGCCCGUUCGUGGGGGAUAACGAGGCGAAAGCUUUGCUAAUACCGCAUACGAUCUACGGAUGAAAGCAGGGGACCGCAAGGCCUUGCGCGGACGGAGCGGCCGAUGGCAGAGUAGGUAGUUGGUGGGAUAAAAGCUUACCAAGCCGACGAUCUGUAGCUGGUCUGAGAGGAUGAUCAGCCACACUGGGACUGAGACACGGCCCAGACUCCUACGGGAGGCAGCAGUGGGGAAUUUUGGACAAUGGGCGCAAGCCUGAUCCAGCCAUGCCGCGUGCAGGAUGAAGGCCUUCGGGUUGUAAACUGCUUUUGUACGGAACGAAAAGCCUUCUUUUAAUACAGGAGGGUCAUGACGGUACCGUAAGAAUAAGCACCGGCUAACUACGUG